GGCGACCUGGAUACCAUCUUCGACACGGGGACAAAUCCCGGGAUGGAGUCCAGGGUUUCCCGCGGCUUCGGCGCUUCCUGACCUGGCGUGACUGCCGACUUGUCGGCACCACCCAGGCCUCAGGCUCCCUGUCUGUAGUGGUGAAUCGACCUUCCUCAUGGCAGUCCAGGCUUCCCAAGCCCCAUGUCCUGUUGAUCCGGGACAAACUCUUCCUUGAACGUUCUUCACUACGAGCCGCUGCUGAUCUGUACUGCCUGGAGGAGCAUUUCCAUAGCGCCCGCAAAAAUACAAUAAAGCUCACCCAAGGAAAUAACCAUGGAUUCUCACGCCUGGGUGCCAGUGUUUGGAAUCGACUGGGCUUUUUUAUGUUAGUAGGCAAUUUAAAACAAUUACUUAUUUGAAAUCAGAAGCGCAAUAGGCAUAACUUCAGCUCAAGAUCCCAGAGGAAGAGGAGCCAUCUUUCCCAGUGGCUUUACCGGAAAAGUCCCUGAGCCAGUCACUGUGCCCACUGGAAGACAAAUGGAGACUUGCCAAGCUUUGGUCAUGAACUCACUGGGACUGCAGGAGACUGGGUCAGCCCCACCAAAAUAAUGCAGAAGCAGAGACUCACUGUGUCACUGAGGCCAGAGUGCAGUGGCGGAAUCUAGACUUACCACAACCUCCACCUCCCAAGUUCAAGCAGUUUUCCUGCCUCAGCCUCCCAAAUAGCUGGGAUUACAGGUACGCACCACCAUACUCGGCUAAGUUUUGUAUUUUUUGUAGAGACAGGGUUUUGCCAUGUUGCCCAGGCUGAUCUCGAACUCCUGACCUCAAGUGAUCUACCCACCUCGGCCUCUGAAAGCAUUGGGAUUACAGGUGUGAGCCACCGCACCCAGCCUCUCAUGUACAAUCUUCUAUGAUAGAUAAAGACUAAGGAACAAGGAUUCUGUUCUCUAGGAGCAUACAGGCAAAUGGGACAGAUAAGACAUAUCUGUGUAUAUAUCUAAUACAAAAAAUAAUUUUUAAAAAGUUUAUGCAAAUAAGAUGCAAAUAAGUGUUCUUGUAGUUCAGAGGAGGAAAGGUAAUUUCCAACUGGUGAUUUUGGUGGGGGAAGAUAUGUUGGGGAGGAACUUUGGGAUCAGAAAAUAUGAACACUAUAUACAGAGACAUGAAAUGUUCCUUUGGCCCAGUAGUCUUUGCUCUUCCUGACCAGUGUCAAAACCACUAUUUACUGUGCAUGGAACUUCUCAGAGCCUUUGAUAUGCUAAGUAAACUUCAAGAGAAGGAGAUAUUAUGCAGCACAUCUCAAACGUGUUAGUAAAUGUAUCACUUUAUUUAUUUGUCAGGAUGUAAGUUCCACAGACCACAUUUCAGAAAAUGCUGUUUUACUCUAUAGAAGUUGGGUGAAUGUGGAAGACAGGCCUCUGGAUAAUUUUAAAAUCACAUUCAGGGAAGAGGAAGGGAGGUAACAAUUUUCAUGUGACUGAAAUUGUGCUGCGUCCUGUACGUAACCACUUGCAUGGGCCACCAAAAACUUCCAGCCCAAAGAAAGGGUUGGGUUUGAGACCAAGGAUGAGCAGACUGUUGGGUGCCAUGGGGGCUAUGUGUUUCAUGUCACAGAUACACACCAAGAAUCCAUUUAGCUCCAUGGUAACAUGGAGACUGGCUGCCUCACUUAGCCGACUCAUUUCCUCAUAUUAAACUUGAACAGUACAUGAAAACCAGGUUCCAGGCAUCCCCCCAACACCCCUCCUUUUUUUCCAUUUUCAGGAUUAGAAAUUUGAUCUUUGGAAUUACGCUUUUUUUCUUUUUAAAAUAAAACGAUGGUGGCAGGUUUGGUAUGGAAUGCUUCUUUAAUUGUAAAUAAUUGUUUCAUAUUUUGUCAAUGGGGCCUACUUAGAAUUGAAGGGUCCCUAGGUCAAAAUGUGGAACCCAUUCAGACAACAUCAAAGCCUUCUAUGUUCUCUCCAGAGGGCAGAGAGCAGAUACAUCUGCUUGAUCCAACGCAUACUUUUCUUGCAACCAACCAGUCGUUUAUUGUUUUAGCACACACUGACAAGCAAUGAGACAAGACAGGGACAGAGGAGGCAGCUUGCCAAGGGAUAGGGCCCUGAGCAUCUGUAAAGCAGCAUUGCAAAAUCACAGAACACUAAAGCUGAAGGGAACUUAUUGAUUCCCAUAAAAGAAUCAGCUUCCCUAGACAAGAUGGGGGGAAACUGAGGCCAAGAAGGCCAAGUGACAUACCUUAAUUAAUCAAGAAAUAAAAUCAGAUUCUGGGCUCAGCAUCUCAGUCCUAAAUCAGUGUCCAUUUUUCUGCAUCACAAAUUAGUACUCACAGUUUGGAUUUCAUUAUGCAAUACAUUCUCUAUCUACUCUUAGCUUUUUUACUUUUAGUUUGUUUGAGAGUAAAUUGGGAUUCCCAGCUAUCCUUUACUCAGGCAUGAGCCUUUGGAGGCUUCUAACUUGAAAUAGAUGGUUCUGGCAUUUGGAUGGAGUGGAACACAAACAGAUUUGCAACAGAGAUUCAAUUUUGUUGGAAACUCACUGGGGUUGAAAAAUGAAAGACGAAAUUGCCAGAUAGAAAUGUGUUUGGGGUUUUAGUGAAUCCAGAAUGCUGAGAAAGAGUUGAAGAAUUUGGACCAAUCUCCUCAUUGCUUGGCUUGCUCAGCCCUGCUCAGCACUACAGGAAAGUUUGGUGGAAAACACUGGAAAGAGGCUUUGUCUAUAAAUAUCCCAGCAAUAACCAGUCGACCAAAACAAUCUUGGGCUCAUGCUUUUAUUCUCAAUAUAUCCAUGACACAAUUAGCAAAUGUUUACUAAGCAACUACUGUGUGCUAGGCAGUGGGGAUACAAUAGCUUUAGAGAUGCUCUCUCUCCUAGCAGGUUGUCUUCUAGCAUGGAAUUUCCAGGGGCCUGGCAUGGUGGUUUGUGCCUGUAAUCCCAGCACUUCAGGAGGUUGAACGGGGAGGAUUGCUUGAGCCCAGGAGUUCAAGAGUAGGUUGGGUAACAUAGUAAGACCCUAUCUCUACAAAUAAUAUAAAAUUAGCUGAGCAUGGUGGCAUAGGCCUAUAGUCCCAACUACUCAGGAGGCUGAGGUGGGAGGAUAGUUUCAGUCUGGGAGGUUGAGGCUGUGGUAAACUGUGAUAGUGCCACUGCAUUCCUGCCUGGGUAACAGUAAGACCCUGUCUCAAAAAAAAAAAAAAAAAAAAAAGAGGAACUUCCAGGGGACUUCUAGAAAUCGUCCUUGACCUGCAGUUCAAGGACACUGCAGCAAAUGUUCAGGUGCAUCCUUCACUUGUGGAAGGGAUCUUGAACUCAGCUCACAACUGAGGUUCAAACGUCAAUACUCUGGUCUGGUGCACUGGGGUGCCAGGGGCAGGAGUUGGAAGUCAGAGAUAAAGGAUCCCCUGAGAGAACAUCAUCAUGAGCGAAGACAGUAGGCCCAGUUGUUCAGAUAGAACAAUGUGAUGAUGGUCCGGAUGUUGGAGAGAGUAGUGGUUUCAGUUUUGGUGUGAAACUACACUUGACCCAACCAAUUCUCCCUCAUUCCUCAAGAGUGCUUAGUCCUUUCCACCAGGUAUUAUGUUAUUUAGACAUCUCUUUCUCCAACUAGACUGUAAGCCUCUUAAAGGCAAGGUAUAUAUUUUAAAUAAUAGUAACUUUUGUUGUUUUUUCUCUUACUUGAAAGGAAAUGCACAUUUAUUAUCAGACACUUAGAAAAUAAAGAUAAGCAAAAUGAAGCAA